UGCAAGUUUAGAUAAGUUAAGCGGUUCUAAGCAGUAGAUCCCAUCUGACGUUCAUCUGACGGGGAUGCGUUGGCGUGAAGCUUAAAGGAUAGACCCGUUUCUUUUUAUCCGUUGAGGUCUACUUAAGAAUUUUUAGCUGGUAUUUAGGUUGUUUGUUCAUGGAGAACUGACCAUAUGUAUCUGCUUCAGUAG
rnacentral:sRNA from 1 species